AUUGAACGCUGGCGGCAGGCCUAACACAUGCAAGUCGAACGGUAACAGGAAUCAGCUUGCUGAUUCGCUGACGAGUGGCGGACGGGUGAGUAAUGUCUGGGAAACUGCCUGAUGGAGGGGGAUAACUACUGGAAACGGUAGCUAAUACCGCAUAACGUCGCAAGACCAAAGAGGGGGACCUUCGGGCCUCUUGCCAUCGGAUGUGCCCAGAUGGGAUUAGCUAGUAGGUGGGGUAAUGGCUCACCCAGGCGACGAUCCCUAGCUGGUCUGAGAGGAUGACCAGCCACACUGGAACUGAGACACGGUCCAGACUCCUACGGGAGGCAGCAGUGGGGAAUAUUGCACAAUGGGCGCAAGCCUGAUGCAGCCAUGCCGCGUGUAUGAAGAAGGCCUUCGGGUUGUAAAGUACUUUCAGCGAGGAGGAAGGUGUUGAGGUUAAUAACCUUAGCAAUUGACGUUACUCGCAGAAGAAGCACCGGCUAACUCUGUGCCAGCAGCCGCCGUAA
rnacentral:rRNA from 1 species